CAGUCGUACCUGCGGAUAAUCAGCCUUUAGGAUGCGAUUUUGGGGAGCGUGAGGAGCUAAUCGCCUUCAUGCCUAUAUAUUCGUGUACUUGGGGUGUACUUAUUCGUGAGGUAAGUUAACAUCAAUCUUGGUUAUCAUAAAAUGGACUGGAGGAAUGUAGCUUCGA
rnacentral:rRNA from 1 species